UACGUAGGCAGCGAGCGUUGUUCGGAGUUACUGGGCGUAAAGGGUGUGUAGGCGGUUCUCUAAGUUUGGUGUGAAAUCUCCCGGCUCAACUGGGGGGGUGCGCCGAAAACUGGAGGGCUAGAGUACGGGAUGGGAGAGUAGAAUUCCCGGUGUAGCGGUGAAAUGCGUAGAUAUCAGGAGGAAUACCGGUGGUGUAGACGGCUCUCUGGACCGUAACUGACGCUGAGACACGAAAUCGUGGGUAGCAAACAGG
rnacentral:rRNA from 1 species